rnacentral:lncRNA from 1 species
UUCUAUCCAUGUUGUAGAAGAAGUUAGUUAAGUAGUCAUGCUCUUACUCAAAAAUAUUCUUUUAGACCGUGAGGAUUUUUUUUCUACAUCCAAACUGUUAGCAGUAGCAUAAUGAGCAUCUGAUUGUUAGAGCUAUUCAGUUAAUUUUAUGUCGACAAGGUCGACAACAAAUAGUGAUUUCUUAACCUUUACAAGGUAAACUGAAAUAA